rnacentral:rRNA from 1 species
GACGUAGGGCGCGAGCGUUGUCCGGAAUUAUUGGGCGUAAAGAGCUCGUAGGCGGCUUGUUGCGUCGACUGUGAAAACCCGCGGCUCAACCGUGUGGCUUGCAGUCGAUACGGGCAGGCUAGAGUCCGGUAGGGGAGCGUGGAAUUCCUGGUGUAGCGGUGAAAUGCGCAGAUAUCAGGAGGAACACCAGCGGCGAAGGCGGCGCUCUGGGCCGGAACUGACGCUGAGGAGCGAAAGCGUGGGUAGCAAACAGG